UGCGUUUAAUUCACGUGUAUACUAUAUAUGCUGGGGAAUCCCAGAGUCCUUGAACUAGCUGGCAAAGUCUGGAAGUUGAAGAGAAACGCAGCUACGAGCUGGAAAAUUAGAAAACAACAGUUGCGUAUCAAGGAACUUCGAAUUCGGCAAGUAUAUAAAGACGAAGGACGCAAAACCCUCUUCAUCAGAACCAAUUCAGCUGAAGAGCGCACAACAACUAUACUGAAACAAUAUAUUCCUUCUUUGAAAACCACAAACCAACAUCUACUCCACCAUGAACAAGGCAAUUAUUCUUAUGAUGUUUGUCUUCGUCAUCAUCUGCGUAACGACGACGAUGGCAGGAGUGCAGCCGUUCGCUAUGUACCCUGCCGUUAACUACCAUCACGCUCGAUUCAUUCGCGAUGCUAGCCCACAAAGAUUCCCCGGCUGGCUUUUCGGUUAACUUGUUGGACAAGUUCAUUAAACUCUAUUUAUGUCGUUGGAAGAAAUAUCAAGAUAUAUCCUACCCAGAUGAAUAUGAAGACGUAUUUAAAACACCUCAUCGUUGAUCGUUCCAGCGGUGUUCUCUCUCAAAUUUAAUUUUCACCUGUAGCUAACACUAAUAUCGUUUUUUGUAAUAAAUAUACUUAUGAGUUAAAAAACUAUAAA